rnacentral:misc_RNA from 1 species
AUGAAAUUACAUAACUGCCCUCCUGUUUCUAUUUCUGUCUGAAGAAGCCAAAUGUAACCCUCUACCAAAAAUUCAUUCUCAUCUACCACUGAAAAACGAUUCAAGAUCUUUACUUGGAUAUCGAUUAGCCCUCGCUAAAUUGUUAUUUCACCAUCAAAGGAAAGAUUCGGACGAUCAGAGAACAACCAAUGGCUGCCGAAGCUUUCCACCUCCAUUACCGGUGAUUAGCAUGCCAUUAUUUCCAAACCCAAACUUUCCAUACCUUUUGGUCACUCAAGAAGCUUCUAGUUGUUUUCACUACAAAAGUGCACUACAUUCCCUUUAAAAAUCAAA